UAUUCACACUUCCGUUUGCUGACAAGUAGCUUGUCCAAAAACCAAUUACAGAUGAAUGUAAGUGAAGCAAGAAAAUUUUAUCAAAAUGGGGCCGCAGAAUUAUCAGUAAGUCGCCUGACAUCACAAAGCAAACAGACCAAAGGGGAACUAUUUCCAGGAAUCGAAUGUAGCUCCAGUGUUCGAGCAACUAUUCUUCCUUUAGGAUGUCGAGCUCAAAUACUUUCUCUGCCGCUACCAAGUUCUAUUGUAGAAGUGUAGAGUUUAUUGAUACCAAUCCACUGUCAAAUCUAGAUGUGGUAGAAAUAGUCAGCGGAUAGGAACUAAUUACUGAAACAAGUCAAUCUAGCCGGUGGUUUAAGUAGUUCAGAGCAACUCCAGUGUUAAAGGAACAACCGAAAAAAGUACUGGAAGUAUGAUUUUUGUUAUCUCAGAAUUGGAGUUGUGUGACAUAUUAGAGAAUUAGAAUCAGAGCUAUCAAAGGAGAUGAACAUGUACAUGGCUAUCAGAAACAUUGAUGUUGGAAAAUGACUGCAUCAAAUUAUUGGAUUUUCUAAUUCUUUUUUCCCCGGAAUCUAGCAUUCUUUAGUUCUUCAUAUUGCUGGCAAAGCUAGAAGGUUACAGUCAUUUAUCACGGCAUUCAGAAGGUCAAAGAGAUUUUAAUUUUGCUGGAAUAUUGCGCAUUCAGAUGAUAAAAAAGUCACGAAGGAUUUUUUAGUACCAAGUUUCAGAUUGACUUUUUUGUUUAUAUGGUUCAUGUGGAAAGAUGUAUUUUUGGUGGUAAGGUUGUAGUCACUUUAUUAACUAUAUCUGUUCCCAUGAUCAUGUCUUUCUGCAGAUGUAUACCUAACAAUAUAAAGAUUUUACCGUGUUAUCAUUGGUAGAUGAAGAUGCCUUUGAAGUUUAUUAACUAUACCUGUUCCCAAAGGUAGCGACUGAUCCAUGGGUUUAAAACUUCUUAAUAUAUUAUUUUGAUGCUCUCUCUGAUUGUUAUAUUAGAAGUAAUCUUGUAUUCAACUCUCUCUAGUUCUGACAGGGAGGUCGGGAAAAAGAUAAAACAAUCAAAGAUGCAACGCAACGUUAGACAGUGGAGGAAGCUAGAGAACGAGGGGAUGUUAAGCAAACUGGGAAGAUGGUACUUUGAGAACAAAACCGGUAAUACUGCCUAUGAAGGGCACAUGUUUCCUCUGUUUGUAACAGAAGUACAGAACAACUAGACUCUUGGCCUGAGAAAGAGAUUCACGAAAGAACUUGGAUGAAUGUUGAAGAAGCGAGAAAACUUUGCCAUAAUGGGUGGAUGAAGGAGGCUUUGAGCAAUUAGUAAGUCACCUCACAUCACAAAGUAAAACGGACCAAAGGGGAAAUAUUCCCAGGAAUCUUGUGUAGCUCCAACACUUGAGCUGAAAUACUUUCUCCCCACCACCAAGUUCUACUGAAGAAGCAUAGUCUCCAUUGACAUCUAUUGUCAAAUGUUAUAUGGUGGAAGCAGCUUGUGAAUAGGAGUUAAGUACUGUCAAAUGUUACAUGGUCAAUCCAGCACGCGAAAAGUAGUUCAGAGGAAUGAGUUUAGUGAAACUCCAGAUUUAGAACCAGUGGCAAAUGACAUCUGCACAUUGGCUUUAGGCUUAAGAAACAAAGUCUUUUGAAUAGUCAAUAUUAGUUGUAAUAGCUAGUAGCAAGUUGAAUUAACUAGUGGCAUAUGUAAAUAC